GAUGAAGAACGCAGCGAAAUGCGAUACGUAAUGUGAAUUGCAGAAUUCAGUGAAUCAUCGAAUCUUUGAACGCAUAUUGCGCUCUCUGGUAUUCCGGAGAGCAUGCUUGUUUGAGUAUCAGUAAACACCUCAACUCCCCUUUCUUUUUUUGAAAUGGGAGCUGGACUUGAGUGAUCCCAACGCUUUUCUCACCGAAAAGUGGCGGGUUACUUGAAAUGCAGGUGCAGCUGGACUUUUCUCUGAGCUAAAAGCAUAUCUAUUUAGUCUGCCUAAAAAACAGAUUAUUACCUUUGCUGCAGCUAACAUAAAGGAGAUUAGUUCUUGUGCUGACUGAUGCAGGAUUCACAGAGACAGCUUCGGCUGGCCUUUGUAAACUCGAUCUCAAAUCAAGUAAGACUACCCGCUGAACUUAAGCAUAUCAAUAAGCGGAAGA
rnacentral:misc_RNA from 1 species